CCUACGGGGUGCAGCAGUGGGGAAUAUUGGACAAUGGGCGAAAGCCUGAUCCAGCCAUGCCGCGUGUGUGAAGAAGGCCUUCGGGUUGUAAAGCACUUUCAGUGGGGAAGAAAGCCUUGGGGCUAAUACCCUCGAGGAAGGACAUCACCCACAGAAGAAGCACCGGCUAACUCCGUGCCAGCAGCCGCGGUAAUACGGAGGGUGCGAGCGUUAAUCGGAAUUACUGGGCGUAAAGCGCGCGUAGGCGGUCUGAUAAGCCGGUUGUGAAAGCCCCGGGCUCAACCUGGGAAUGGCAUCCGGAACUGUCAGGCUAGAGUGCAGGAGAGGAAGGUAGAAUUCCCGGUGUAGCGGUGAAAUGCGUAGAGAUCGGGAGGAAUACCAGUGGCGAAGGCGGCCUUCUGGACUGACACUGACGCUGAGGUGCGAAAGCGUGGGUAGCAAACAGGAUUAGAUACCCGGGUAGUC
rnacentral:rRNA from 1 species